ensembl:snRNA U6 U6 spliceosomal RNA
GAUUAACAAUCUGAUCAAGAUCUUGCUUUGGAAUGAUACAGAGAUUAGCAUGGCCCCUGCACAAGGAUGACACACAAAUUUGUGAAGCAUUCCAAAUUUUU